UACGGAGGGUGCAAGCGUUAUCCGGAUUUACUGGGUUUAAAGGGUGCGUAGGUGGACAAUUAAGUCGGUGGUGAAAUCUCCGGGCUUAACCCGGAAACUGCCAUUGAUACUACUUGUCUUGAAUACUUUGGAGGUAAGCGGAAUAUGUCAUGUAGCGGUGAAAUGCUUAGAUAUGACAUAGAACACCAAUUGCGAAGGCAGCUUACUACACAGUAAUUGACACUGAGGCACGAAAGCGUGGGGAUCAAACAGG
rnacentral:rRNA from 1 species